AAGGCGAUUAUGCUAGUGAUAUGUUUGUGUUUGAGCCUUAGUAACGAAAAUGAAAUAUGGAUGUGUAAUGAUUAUUGAUGUAUAUGUGUGCAUGAGCAAUUGAAUGAUAUCCGGGCUAAGUCCCGAAGACAUUUAUGCUAGUAAUUAUAUCCGGGUUAAGACCCGAAGGCAAUUGUGCUAGUGACUACAUCCGGGCUAAGACCCGAAGGCAUUCGUGCAAGUUGUUAAAUCCGGGCUAAUACCCGAAGGCAUUUGUGCAAGUCGUUCUAUCCGGGCUAAGACCCGAAGGCAUUCGUGCAUGUGGUUAUAUCCGGUUGUAUUCCGAAGAAGCUUGGGCUGGAGGUGAGCGUUGGUUGCUGUAAUAAAUUUAAUUAGUACGCUCGAAAAGCCCAAAGAAUAAGAUUUUGCUCGUUAGCGAUCGGAUUCGGGAUCAUUAAAGUCGAAGUCAUCUACACUAUCAAAGCCUCCAUUUUGGUAUAAUUUUGGUUGAACUUUGAAAUGGCAUGUAUAGGACUACCCUAUUGUUGAAGGUCAUGUACCUUUCGGUUUUGUGUAAGCUUGGAUAGCCAUGCGAAAAUGGCUUAUAUACGUUUUUAGUAUGAUUCUAUAAUCGUUUGUAUGAUGAUCAUUAUGGGGUAUGGAAUUGUUUGAAAAGAUUA